rnacentral:rRNA from 1 species
GACGAACGCUGGCGGCGUGCUUAACACAUGCAAGUCGAACGGAAAGGCCCUGCUCUUGUUGGGUUCUCGAGUGGCGAACGGGUGAGUAACACGUGAGUAACCUGCCCUUGACUUUGGGAUAACUUCAGGAAACUGCGGCUAAUACCGGAUAGGAUCUCCUGCUGCAUGGUGGGGGUUGGAAAGUUUCGGCGGUUGGGGAUGGACUCGCGGCUUAUCCGCUUGUUGGUGGGGUAGUGGCUUACCAAGGCUUUGACGGGUAGCCGGCCUGAGAGGGUGACCGGCGACAUUGGGACUGAGAUACGGCCCAGAAUCCUACGGGAGGCAGCAGUGGGGAAUAUUGCACAAUGGGCGGAAGCCUGAUGCAGCAACGCCGCGUGCGGGAUGACGGCCUUCGGGUUGUAAACCGCUUUCGCCUGUGACGAAGCGUGAGUGACGGUAAUGGGUAAAGAAGCACCGGCUAACUACGUG